ACAUUGAAAGGAAAAAACACUUUGUUACACGAAGCUGAAGUAAGGGAAACUUGUAACAAGACAGGCUCAAACAGAGGUACCAACUACAGCUUCGAUCUCCCAGGCUCAAGCAAUCCUUCCCACGUCAGCCUCACUAGUAGCUGGGAUAACAGGUAUGUGCCACCACACCUGGCUAAUUUUUUUUGACUUUUAGUAAACAGGAGGUCUUGCUAUGUUGCCAGGCUGGUCUCAAACUCCUGAACUCAAGCGAUUCCUCUGACUUGGCCUCCCAAAGGGUUGUGAUUACAGGAAUGAGCCACCAUGCCUGGCCUGUUUGUAACUUUAAUCUUCCUUUUUACUUCAAACAGGGAAUUGAACAAAGUAAUCAACCACAAAAGGGGCAUGUUUCAUCUCUUGUCUUUUAACAACAUGGCUACUUCACUUAAAAAAAACUUUCUUAUGUAGUUUAUUCUUUAUUCUAAAGAUUCAUUAUAUUUUAGAAAGUAUGAUAUAAAACAUUUAAAAUUCCUGAGACUGGUCUAGAGCCACAAAAAGGUUAUAUUUUAAUGCCUGAAUUAAAAUGAACAAAAUUAUAUCAUCAUAAGACUAGAGACUUGUUUAUUUUUACCUGUUCUUGGGUCCGAUUCUUCCAGUAUAACCACCUCUUUUUCCAGUCUGGACCCACCAUGUUUUCAAUUGCAUUUUCAGCUUGAAAAAAAAAAUUAAUUUAUCAAGAAUUUUAUCACUUACACAUACACAAAUUAUAACUGAUAAUGGUCUUGCUUUCUUAACUAUUUCAAAGUGCUAUAUCAAUAUGAAGGCAGUUGAAAUACAGGAAAAAACCCACAUGACUGAUAUGGCACAUGUGUAAGAGUUUAAUUAUAUAUGUGUUUAUGAUACCUAAAAGUGUAAUUGCUUAUAAAAUUCCUAUAAGUACAGUAGCAAACACACUAAAAUAUUCUGCAUUAUAGCUUUAUAGAAUAUAAGUGCACAUAAGCAUCAUGUGUCUAUUUUAUUCAUCGGUUUUAGUAGCCACAAAGCAGUUGACUAAAAAAAUUCCACAAAUAAUAUUCGACUAUAGUAUUAAUGACAAAGACUUUGAAAUGUUCAAUGUAUUUCUACAAAUGUUCACUAAGGUUGGAUGACUCCUUCACCACUGUGAACGCAGAACUCAAUAAGCCAUGUCUCUACUUACUAUCCUUGAGACGAGCCUGCAGAGCCUCUUCCAUAAAAUAAAUAGCUGCAUCCCACUGCUGUUUAUCAGAUAUGGAUCGGUCUUCCAAAGCAUUGUGUUGAAUAACCCUCUAAAAAUAACAAGAAGAGAAAAAGCCAACUUGUUUUACAUCUCAUCAUUUUGGUAGUUUUAUUCAAAUUGACAGCUUAGUAAAUAUGGAAAAAUAACCAUGUAUAUAAACCAGCAUAAAAAUAUAUCCUUCCUAUAAAAAUGCAUAAGCUCCUUUUAUUUGCCUGCUUAUUUGUUAGCUUGCUAUCUAAAAAAUAAAGAGUGGAGAUUCUCUCCUGGCCCAAGUUAAACAAACAAGCUAACCAUAUGGGGUGAGUGGGUAAUACUACACAUUUACAUUAUACAAAAUAUUACAAAUUUAACUACAUGAAAUGCAACAUCUAGAAACCUAAAAUUCAGGGCUUAAUAAUUCAGAUCAUGUUCAUCACUCCUUUUUGCCAUAUGACCUAUAUGUUAGCCUUUUCAAAAAUAAGGAGAAAAAAAUUAAUAACCAUUAUUCCCAGUGUUAACAGCAAUGAAAAAAGUAAUAAGGUAGACAUUUAAAAAGUCUAUACAAUCAUAAAAGUUAUUUAUUACAGUUGAAAAUUGGCUUCCAAAUUUUAUAAUUUUUGAAUGAAUAAAAAUGAAGCUAUUUUCUCAGUAAGCCAGUCUUAAUACGGCAUUUGACAAGAAUAAAUACGGUUUUCUUUCUUUCUUUCUUUUUUUUUUUUUUUCGAAACGGAGUUUUGCUCUUGUUGCCUAGGCUGGAGUGCAAUGGCACGAUCUCGGCUCACCGCAACCUCCCCUUCCCGGGUUCAAGCAAUUCUCCUGCCUCAGUCUCCCGAGUGGCUGGGAUUACAGGCAUGCACCACUAUGCCCGGUUAAUUUUGUACUUUUAGUAGAGACGGGGUUUCUCCACGUUGGUCAGGCUGGUCUCGAACUCCCGACCUCAGGUGAUCCACCCACCUCGGCCUCCCAAAGUGCUGGGAUUCCAGGUGUGAGCCACCACGCCCGGCCAUAAAGACAAACACUUCUUUAAAAUAAAAUUAUAAUUACAACCAGCUCUGCAUUUUCCCAGAAAAUGCUCAAUCCUGUAAUUCAACAACACCUCUAGUAACUCUCUGAGCACAGCAGGCACUUAACAGAUUUGAUUUUGGUAGUGAGAGCAUUCUACAUAACAAAAGAUUUAUCAGGUGGUGUCAGGAACCAGGCUUUGCCAUUAGAGAGGGGCUUGAAUCCCAGCUCUGUCAAUGACAAUAAUAGGAGUGGUUAAGAAUUAAAUCAAAUAAUGCUUGCAAAAUACCUAGCAGAGUUCCUGGCACAUAGUAAGCAUUCAAUACAUGGCAGCUGGUGUUACGAUUUUAGGAGUCUAACAUUUUAUAAUCCACUGAAAACCAACGCAUUUAGUUCCUUUUAUUAUCACAGAGGGUGAAAUUAGAAGCACCUAUCUACAGAUAGGCCCAUAAAAUGGCUAAUAGAUGACAAUCUGUAGAAGUUUAUCGGAGUCUGUUUACUCCAAAGUUUUACUUUUUUCUGAAAUGAUAGCCAUGAAAGAAACAGCAACAGGUGAUUUUAGAAGGGCAGGGAAAUAUUAAAGGGCAGAUUACAGAUCAUAAAUCUGUUUCUUUACUUCAUUAUUUUUAAUUCAGAAUGUAAUUUAGUCAUAUAAAAAGUUUCCUAUGAAAAAGUAUCAAUUUGAGAAGUUAUAUAAAAAUAUGAGGCUGAUACCCCAGUAUACAAACAACAUACCAAGCUGUCCUCCGCAAAGUCAUUCCACUUGUGUCGUUUAAUACUUUCUUCCUUAACGGCCUCUUUAAGUUUAUCAAAUAUGUCAUCAUGCUCUUUCCCUUUGGGUUCUGUCAUGAAGCGGGAAAAUUCUUCUUGUAGGGUCUCCCAAGCAACCUAGAAUUAUUUGAAAGAAAAAAAGCUGUAUUAUUACUACAUACUUUAAUGGUUAACAUGAAAAAUAACACAUGAGCUCAAGCCAAACAGAUGUGAGCAGCUUUUCAGAAAAUAUACAUGAAAACUACAUUAACAAAAAGGCAAAUAUAAACUAUGAUGUAGAGGUCUCACACGGGUUGCUGGGGACAGAUAUGGCUUCCUGAUAUGUUUUCCUAGACAUGUAUAGUGGUUCUCAUUUUUAAAAUUGCUCGCCAAUAUUUAAAAAUUGAGAGAUUUCAUAUAAAAGUCUGCAUUUACAGCUUCUCUUGAACUAACUGAGAAGGGUAUACCCAUAUUCCUACAUGACACCACCUACUGUAGCUGAACAGGGCUGUCUCUUCAAGAUAAGGUAUGUAUUCUAAGCCUGCCACCCAGGUUAGUUCAUUUAUUUAUUUCAACCUCUAAGACAUGAGUUUGCCUGCUUCUUUCACACUGCAAAAAGUUUUAAAUGUCUUAAUGAUUCAGUCAUCUUCACAGCUUUGUCUUUAAGCAAAGAUAUGAAGCAAUGCACCAACACUUUCAAACACAGCUGAAGAGUAUUCAGCUUUGUAUUAUAGCUAACUCCUAAUGAUCUGAACGGUGAAAGGAAGAGCAGUGUCAAAAAUAAUGAAGAACAAAAUCUGCUUAUAACUAAGUGGGCUUUUUAAUGCUGGAUUUUAGCCCUCUCUCAUUUUAAAAAAGAAAGUGACUGUCCAAAAAUAUGGAGUGAGUGGUGGGGCGAGUAUUAAGAUCCAUGUUUCCUGACCUUCUCACCAGAUCUACAUUCUUUCCAUGACACCUGGUGCUGAGGGACAGAAAGCAGCGGUGGAAAGAAAAAUUGAUGCUUUCAUAACCACUUCCACUGCUUGAACCUUAGGAUGUGAAAAUAUCCUAUCAUGGGACAGGGUGCAGAAAAAAUGUUAGUGCCACCAAUGAGAGCUACUGAAGGGGUAGCAGCAGCUCUCUAAUUUCUUCAGGGGUAAAUGUGUCAAGAACUGCCAGGGCUCAGCAAUAUGCAACUUAGGCAGGGAGGCUGCUAGAGUUCUUAGAAGGGGCUUGAAGAAAUUGAGAACAGAGGUAACGAAGUCAAGACUGGAGCAAGAUAGGAAAGGGGUGAAAUCACAUCUGAAUAAUUAGAAACUGACACUGCCUUUAAGAUAGGUAUAAAACACGAAAUUACUUUUAACAUGGACUUCAAUUUUGUGAGCAACCUCACACAGAAGCACAGGACACACUGACUCUUAGCUUGGACAAUCACUGUGUACAGGGUGAUGUACAUGACGGAUCAAUUCAGAUGAUGAUGACCAUGGUAACAGCAGGUCCAUUUCCUGAGCAGUUACCAUGGGCUGGGCAUUGUCUAAGUAUUUUACAUAUAAUUACUUAUUUAAUCCUUACAACAACCCUGUGAGGUAAGCAACAUUAUUGUCACCAUUUUAUAGAUGAAAAAACACAAAGGGAAGUUAAGCAACUAGGUAAAGGAUCAUACAGCUAUUAAGUGAUAAAGCCAAGAUACAUGGCAGCAGAAAUAGAUUCUUUAAGGUAGUUUUUUUUUUUUUUUUUUUUUUUUAAAUAAUUCCUAGUUUAAUCUUCGGUCAGGAUCCUAACUAAGAAAAUGAUAAUUUAAGUAUAACUGAGCUCAGAUGAAACGCUUGAUCUAUUAAGUAUUUUAUUUAUGGAAUCUCUAUAAUCCACAGAAUCCACAGAAAAUGUUCAAAAUAUUUCACAUUCAAGCAAAUAUUCAAGCAAAUAUUUCACAUUCAAGCAAAAUUUGCUUGUUAAAUAUUGUCUUUGGAAGAAGUACGAAUACCCUCAGGCCAACACCAUACCAAUUAAUUAGUAAAUUUUUAUAACUUUAGUAACUGGUAGCAACAUUAAGGUUAGUUCCAAAACAGAGACGAGGAAUAAAGAAUAAAUAAGAUAUAAAGACCCAAAAGAAAGAUAGAGGCUGUGAUGGGAAUAAAAUCUAAAAUUCACAGCUCCUACUCCCUUCAGAUAAUGCUUCUUACCCAUUUAAUUAAAUUAUAUCCUAACCUCUACUGCUUUAUUAGGAAGUUGUUUAUCAGUCCACUGUUUAAGCUUGAUAUCCACUGUGGUAUUAAAAGUUCCUGAAUUCAUGGUCUGUGCAGCUGGAAGGUAGAUGUUUUCAAUCACAUGAGUUGAUACUCUUUCCCACAAAGAUUGUUGAAGGAUUUCCUCCCUGAAAUAAAAAAGUAUCAAAAGCACCAAAUCUAAAUAUAGUUUUUAAAAACAGCUUGACUGAAGUAUCAUUAACUUACAAUAAACUGUACAUAUUUAAAGUUUUGAUAAGUUUUCACAUGUGUAUAUACCCGUAAAUUGCAGCAGUCAAGAUAAUGAAUGCAUCCAUCAUCCUCAAAAGUUGUAACCACUGGAACUGCUUUCUGUCACUGUGAUUAGUUUGUAUUUUCUAGAAAUAUAUAUAAAUGCAAUCAUGUGGCAUAUACUCUUUUUCUUUCUUCUUCCAUUCAGCAUAAUUAUUUUGAGGUUCAUCAUGCUGUUGUAUGUAUUAAUAUUUCACUUUUUUUUUUUUUUGAGACAGGGUCUUGCUUAGUUGCCCAGGCUGGAUGGAGUACAAUGGAACAUUCAUGGCUCACUGCAGCCUCAACCUCCUGGGCUCAGGCCAUCCUCCCAUCUUAUCCUCCCGAGUUGCUGGGACUACAGGUGGACACCAUUAUGCCUGGCUAACUUUUUAAAAUUUUGUAGAGAUGGGGGUCUCACCAUGUUGCUGAGGCUGGUCUUGAACUCCUGGGCUCAAGCAAUCCUCUUGCCUUGGCCUCCCAAAGUGUUGGGAUUACAAGUGUGAGCCACCGCAUCUAGCAAUAUUUCACUUCGUUUUAUUUCUGUGUAGUAUUCUGUUGCAUGAAUGUGUUUAUCCAUUCAUGUGUUGAUAGACACUUAGGCUGUUUCCAGCUUUUGGCUAUUACAAAUAAAGCUGCUAUGAGAAUUCA